rnacentral:rRNA from 1 species
UGGGGAAUAUUGCACAAUGGGGGAAACCCUGAUGCAGCAACGCCGCGUGAGUGAAGAAGUAUCUCGGUAUGUAAAGCUCUAUCAGCAGGGAAGAAAAUGACGGUACCUGACUAAGAAGCCCCGGCUAACUACGUGCCAGCAGCCGCGGUAAUACGUAGGGGGCAAGCGUUAUCCGGAUUUACUGGGUGUAAAGGGAGCGUAGACGGUGUGGCAAGUCUGAAGUGAAAGCCCGGGGCUCAACCCCGGGACUGCUUUGGAAACUGUCAUGCUGGAGUGCUGGAGAGGUAAGCGGAAUUCCUAGUG